rnacentral:rRNA from 1 species
GAUGAACGCUGGCGGCGUGCUUAACACAUGCAAGUCGAGCGAAGCACUUUCGAUGAUCCUUCGGGUGAUUUGAUUGUGACUGAGCGGCGGACGGGUGAGUAACGCGUGAGUAACCUGCCUCAUACAGGGGAAUAACAGUUAGAAAUGACUGCUAAUGCCGCAUAAGCGCACAGGGCCGCAUGGCCCGGUGUGAAAAACUCCGGUGGUAUGAGAUGGACUCGCGUCUGAUUAGCUAGUUGGCAGGGUAACGGCCUACCAAGGCGACGAUCAGUAGCCGGCCUGAGAGGGUGAACGGCCACAUUGGGACUGAGACACGGCCCAAACUCCUACGGGAGGCAGCAGUGGGGAAUAUUGCACAAUGGGGGAAACCCUGAUGCAGCGACGCCGCGUGAGUGAAGAAGUAUUUCGGUAUGUAAAGCUCUAUCAGCAGGGAAGAAAAUGACGGUACCUGACUAAGAAGCCCCGGC